CAGGAUAAGUAAUGUACGUGCGGUGACUGCACCAGCAGAAUAGUGAGUGCAGCUCUGGAGUAUAAUACAGGAUGUAACUCAGGAUCAGUACAGGAUAAGUAAUGUACGUGCGCGGUGACUGCACCAGCAGAAUAGUGAGUGCAGCUCUGGAGUAUAAUACAGGAUGUAACUCA